rnacentral:rRNA from 1 species
UACGAAGGGGGCGAGCGUUGUUCGGAUUUACUGGGCGUAAAGGGCGCGCAGGCGGCCAUUCAAGUCAGGCGUGAAAGCCCCGGGCUUAACCUGGGAGGUGCGUCUGGGACUGGGUGGCUAGAGAUCGGGAGAGGAGAGUGGAAUUCCCAGUGUAGAGGUGAAAUUCGUAGAUAUCGAGAGGAACACCGGUGGCGAAGGCGGCCUUCUGGACAGUGACUGACGCUGAGACGCGAAAGCGUGGGGAGCAAACAGG